GGAGGUAGAGCACUGUUUGGACGAGGGGCCCCUCUCGGGUUACCGAAUUCAGACAAACUCCGAAUGCCAAUUAAUUUAACUUGGGAGUCAGAACAUGGGUGAUAAGGUCCGUGUUCGAAAGGGAAACAGCCCAGACCACCAGCUAAGGUCCCAAAAUAUAUGUUAAGUGGAAAAGGAUGUGGCGUUGCCCAGACAACUAGGAUGUUGGCUUAGAAGCAGCCAUCAUUUAAAGAGUGCGUAAUAGCUCACUAGUCGAGUGACACUGCGCCGAAAAUGUACCGGGGCUAAACAUAUUACCGAAGCUGUGGAUUGUCCUUUGGACAAUGGUAGGAGAGCGUUCUAAGGGCGUUGAAGCAUGAUCGUAAGGACAUGUGGAGCGCUUAGAAGUGAGAAUGCCGGUGUGAGUAGCGAAAGACGGGUGAGAAUCCCGUCCACCGAUUGACUAAGGUUUCCAGAGGAAGGCUCGUCCGCUCUGGGUUAGUCGGGUCCUAAGCUGAGGCCGACAGGCGUAGGCGAUGGAUAACAGGUUGAUAUUCCUGUACCACCUAUA
rnacentral:rRNA from 1 species